UUAGCGGCGGACGGGUGAGUAACACGUGGAUAACCUACCUAUAAGACUGGGAUAACUUCGGGAAACCGGAGCUAAUACCGGAUAAUAUUUUGAACCGCAUGGUUCAAAAGUGAAAGACGGUCUUGCUGUCACUUAUAGAUGGAUCCGCGCUGCAUUAGCUAGUUGGUAAGGUAACGGCUUACCAAGGCAACGAUGCAUAGCCGACCUGAGAGGGUGAUCGGCCACACUGGAACUGAGACACGGUCCAGACUCCUACGGGAGGCAGCAGUAGGGAAUCUUCCGCAAUGGGCGAAAGCCUGACGGAGCAACGCCGCGUGAGUGAUGAAGGUCUUCGGAUCGUAAAACUCUGUUAUUAGGGAAGAACAUAUGUGUAAGUAACUGUGCACAUCUUGACGGUACCUAAUCAGAAAGCCACGGCUAACUACGUGCCAGCAGCCGCGGUAAUACGUAGGUGGCAAGCGUUAUCCGGAAUUAUUGGGCGUAAAGCGCGCGUAGGCGGUUUUUUAAGUCUGAUGUGAAAGCCCACGGCUCAACCGUGGAGGGUCAUUGGAAACUGGAAAACUUGAGUGCAGAAGAGGAAAGUGGAAUUCCAUGUGUAGCGGUGAAAUGCGCAGAGAUAUGGAGGAACACCAGUGGCGAAGGCGACUUUCUGGUCUGUAACUGACGCUGAUGUGCGAAAGCGUGGGGAUCAAACAGGAUUAGAUACCCUGGUAGUCCACGCCGUAAACGA
rnacentral:rRNA from 1 species